AUUGAACGCUGGCGGCAGGCUUAACACAUGCAAGUCGAGCGGAGAUGAGGUGCUUGCACCUUAUCUUAGCGGCGGACGGGUGAGUAAUGCUUAGGAAUCUGCCUAUUAGUGGGGGACAACAUUCCGAAAGGAAUGCUAAUACCGCAUACGUCCUACGGGAGAAAGCAGGGGAUCUUCGGACCUUGCGCUAAUAGAUGAGCCUAAGUCGGAUUAGCUAGUUGGUGGGGUAAAGGCCUACCAAGGCGACGAUCUGUAGCGGGUCUGAGAGGAUGAUCCGGCACACUGGGACUGAGACACGGCCCAGACUCCUACGGGAGGCAGCAGUUGGGAAUAUUGGACAAUGGGGGGAACCCUGAUCCAGCCAUGCCGCGUGUGUGAAGAAGGCCUUAUGGUUGUAAAGCACUUUAAGCGAGGAGGAGGCUACUGAGACUAAUACUCUUGGAUAGUGGACGUUACUCGCAGAAUAAGCACCGGCUAACUCUGUGCCAGCCGCCGCGGUAA
rnacentral:rRNA from 1 species